rnacentral:rRNA from 1 species
CCUACGGGUGGCAGCAGUGGGGGAUAUUGCACAAUGGGGGAAACCCUGAUGCAGCGACGCCGCGUGGGCGAAGAAGUAUUUCGGUAUGUAAAGCCCUAUCAGCAGGGAAGAAGAAAUGACGGUACCUGAGUAAGAAGCACCGGCUAAAUACGUGCCAGCAGACGCGGUAAUACGGGGGAUGCAAGCGGUAUCCGGAUUUACUGGGUGUAAAGGGAGCGUAGACGGCAGUGCAAGUCUGGAGUGAAAGGCGGGGGCUCAACCCCCGGACUGCCCUGGAAACUGUACGGCUGGAGUGCAGGAGAGGUAAGUGGAAGUCCAGGUGUAGCGGUGAAAUGCGUAGAUAUUAGGAGGAACACCAGUGGCGAAGGCGGCUUACUGGACUGUAACUGACGUUGAGGCUCGAAAGCGUGGGGAGCAAACAGGAUUAGAUACCCUUGUAGUC